GAGGUGCAAGGCCAUAAAUAGCUUUAAAAACAAACAUUAAAAUCAAUUCUAAAACGAACUGGAAGCCAGUGGAGUGAGUACAGGACAGGCGUAAUAUGCUCGAGCAGCAGCAUUCUGAAUUAAUAACAUAUAUGUUGCAGAAACUAAUUUGAACCAUUUGUACAUUUACUCCACAUUCUGUAGCCUCACCUUCAAAUGACCUUGCCCCCACAUAACCAUACUAAGGGGAAAAAAAAAAAAACCCUGACUGCUCCUGACUGAGCAACACUUUGUCUUUGUAAACACGAAGCCAAGCACUUUUUUUUUUUGUUUACCAUCAUAAGAUGGGUGUCCGGACAGGACCAGUGUCCACUCUAGCUUUUCAUGUGUGUCUGUGGUGGAAAAAUAAGAUGCGAUGGUAUUCAUUAAUGCUGCUACUGUGUUCUGUUUCAAAUGAAAGCACAUCAGCAGGGAACAAGCCUCAUUUCUAAGCAUUUAUUUACUUACAUUUUGGAGCUUUAAAAUCCCAGCUUUUACUGUGCCAUAGUGCUGUUAUGUAAAUAUAUAGACAU